rnacentral:rRNA from 1 species
UGGGGAAUUUUGGACAAUGGGCGAAAGCCUGAUCCAGCAAUGCCGCGUGUGUGAAGAAGGCCUUCGGGUUGUAAAGCACUUUUGUCCGGAAAGAAAUCCUUGGCUCUAAUACAGUCGGGGGAUGACGGUACCGGAAGAAUAAGCACCGGCUAACUACGUGCCAGCAGCCGCGGUAAUACGUAGGGUGCAAGCGUUAAUCGGAAUUACUGGGCGUAAAGCGUGCGCAGGCGGUUUGCUAAGACCGAUGUGAAAUCCCCGGGCUCAACCUGGGAACUGCAUUGGUGACUGGCAGGCUAGAGUAUGGCAGAGGGGGGUAGAAUUCCACGUGUAGCAGUGAAAUGCGUAGAGAUGUGGAGGAAUACCGAUGGCGAAGGCAGCCCCCUGGGCCAAUACUGACGCUCAUGCACGAAAAGCGUGGGGAGCAAAACAGGAUUAGAUACCCUGGUAGUCCACGCCCUAAAACGAUGUCAACUAGUUGUUGGGGAUUCAUUUCCUUAGUAACGU